rnacentral:rRNA from 1 species
UACGGAGGGUGCGAGCGUUGUCCGGAAUCACUGGGCGUAAAGGGCGCGUAGGCGGCGUCGGCAGUCUGUGGUGAAAGCUCGUGGCUCAACUGCGAGUCGGCCAUGGAUACUCCGAUGCUUGAGCACUGUAGAGGCAGGUGGAAUUCCGGGUGUAGCGGUGGAAUGCGUAGAGAUCCGGAAGAACACCGGUGGCGAAGGCGGCCUGCUGGGCAGUAGCUGACGCUGAGGCGCGACAGCGUGGGGAGCAAACAGG